rnacentral:rRNA from 1 species
UACAGAGGGUGCAAGCGUUGUUCGGAAUUACUGGGCGUAAAGCGUGCGUAGUCGGUAUUGAGAGUCGCGGGGGAAAUCCCCAAGCUUAACUUGGGAACUGCCUGCGAGACCUCAGUACUAGAGUGUGAGAGGGGAUAGUGGAAUACCCAGUGUAGCGGUGAAAUGCGUAGAGAUUGGGUGGAACACCGGUGGCGAAGGCGGCUAUCUGGCUCACAACUGACGAUCAGGCACGAAAGCGUGGGGAGCAAACAGG